rnacentral:lncRNA from 1 species
GGUUUAUAUUUGGGUUUAGGGUUUAGUGAAUAUAGUUUACGGUUUAGUAUUUAGAAGGUGAGGGGAUAUGGUUGGGGUCAGCAUUAACUUCUUCGAUGAAAUCAUAGACAUUUCAUUAUUUCACCGAUAUAUACCAUGCUAUUUAUUUUGUUCCAUUCUAUUUGGGUUUAGAGUUUAUUUUUGGGUUUAGGGUUUAGUGAAUCAUAUUUAGGGUUUAGUAUUUAGAAAGUGAGGGGUUUUGGUUGGGGUAAGCAUUAACUUUAAUUUCUUCCAUGAAAUCAUAGAUAUUUCAUAAUUUCACCAAUAUAUAACAUACUAUUAUUUUGUUCCAUUCUAUUUGGGUUUAUAGUUUAUAUUUGGGUUUAGGAUCUAGUGAAUAGGGUGUAGGGUUUAGUGAAUAUGGUUUAGGGUUUAGUAUUUAGAAGAUGAAGGGGUAUGGUUGGGGUCAGCAUCAACUUCUUCCAUGAAAUCAUAGACAUUUCAUAGUUUCACCAAUAUAUACCAUUAUAUUUAUUUUGUUCCAUUCUAUUUGGGUUUAUAACUUAUAUUUGCAUUUAGGGUUUGUAUUUGAGUUUAGGUUUUAUUAAUUAGGAUUUAGGGUUUAGCAUUAAGGAUUGUGGUGGGGAUGGGAUAAUGUUUAGUAUAUAGGAGUUGGAGUUGGGGUAAUGUUUAGUAUUAGAGUAUAUGGGUGAGGUUAGAGAUCUGUAUUAUUUCGGUGAAUUAGAAUAGAACACUCAUUGCAUAUGUAUGUGGUCAUAAACGUGUAACGUGGUUUCUUAUAUUCUCUCAGAUGUAAACUAAAUAUUAGUCAUACCUCUAUUUGUCUACGUCAUCUAACCUCGUAUCCUUCACCUGCUACUUGUACAAGCGAAGGUCAAAACUGGCUCAUUUGAUGCAUAAUUGUUAGUUACUUAAUGAUGUCAAAAUCAAUGACAUGCAUCUAAUUUCUUCUCCAAUCAUAGCUAUUUUGCAAAUUCUCCCUAAAGCAAAUGUCUUCUCCUUGUUGAUUUUUUUAAUUAAAAUUAUUAAGACAAAAAUAUUUAGGAUUGGAGGUAUACGUGAUGAAAGAAAUAACUGGAGAAUGAAUGAUAGGUGUUUAUUUGGGGGAUGAAAAGCUAGAUUGUCUUCUUACAAAAACUCUUAAGGAUUACAAAAAAAAAACUCCUAAGGAAUACAAAACAAACAAAAAAAAAUUCUGGAAAACUCUGUGACGCUUAAAUUAAGAUCGUUGUAAUGAGAGUUAAAUAUUCAAAAAAUGAGUAGAAUUGAAUGUGGAAAUUCGUCUGUGGGUAAGAACUACUAACUCCGCUAGUUAGUGCUUUAACCAUUAUGAAGGUUUGUUGAAAGAUGAAAAGAGAGGAGUUGGAACUCUCUUUUCCUUCUCAUUCCCGUUUUCAUCUUUUUCAUUUCUUUUUAUUUAUAGGGAAGAGCUGUGAUUCGCACUCCAAGAGUUGGUUUUACCCUCAUGGCUUUCCUUUUACUCGUGCAACAUAGGCUGCAUGAGACUGUCUUUUUGUGUCAAUCUUUCCUUAGAGAUUAAACAAUCUAUGAAUGGGACCUAGUUUUGGCCACACAUCAAAUCCACACAAAAUAUGGUUCCGCGAGAUAAAGUGUAGUUUGCUGUCCGUUCCUCCAUAAAAGCUCCUGACGCGUAAGUGUUAGGCCACCUAAGUUAGAAACAAAAAUAUGGACCACAAUUUUGAAAAUUAUAUGUAAUUAAGAUGGUUAAGUUAGAAAAGAAAACAAUUUUCUUAUCCCUACUUAAAUGUAUUGUUUGUGCAUUUUGUUUUAAUGAAUAAUUUUCCUUCUGAUUUAAAAGUUUUAAAAAAAACUUUUAGUUUUGAUAUAGUUCUACAAUUGUAAUGGCACAUUUAUUUUUAAAAGCUUUAGGCCUCCUAAUUUGGGACGGCAUGCGUAAGGAGAGAGGACUGGUUUAUAACCGCGAGAAAUGACAUGAUCAUUUCCAAACUAUUUUCAAAAAAAAAAUAAAUAAGAAUAUGAUCAUUUCCAAACGCCAAAUAAUAGUGAAGUGGAUAAGUGGAGGAGAUACUACUGUAGGAGGAGAAACACAUUUCUGUUUUGUCCAAAGCUAAUGGGAAGGUAGAUCAUGUAGUCAGUAUGGUGGUCCUAGGCUUGGUACCAGUCACUUGUUCAUUGACGAUAAUAAUUUAGUUUAUGCGAGCUUUCUUAAGAUUUAACUUCACGUUCAGGAAUCAUAUACGGAUCCGACAUGUGAACAUAAUAUAUGUUGUAUUUGUCAGUGUGGAUUUUCCCUUCUAUAAAUAAAAAACUUCGAUUUUUGGUGUCUGCUUGAUGAAGCAUUAUCGGCGUCGUGAGCGAUAAUGCAAACCAUAUCUGAAAUAGUGGGUAAUAAAAAAAUAGGGGCAUUCCGAGAAUUGAACUCGGGACCUCUCGCACCCUAAGCGAGAAUCAUACCACUAGACCAAAUGCCCUUUUUGAUAGGUGGCUCAUCUAAUUGUUCAUCGUGCCGUACGUAUGUUAUAUUUGACUAUGUGACCUCCUAAAGUUUCAGGGAAGAAAAGUCUUUAUCAUUCCAAACACAAUAACUAGUUUGGUAAAGACAGUUCAUGGACAGUGAUGGACUGGUACAGAUUCUUAGCCUUUUCAUACACUACCGAAUGGGAUAGUUACUCUAAAGCUGGAGUAUGAGAGGUUGGUAGUCUUGUUAUCCAAUAAGAGAUUGCUAUAUAUUUUUUGUCAAACAAAGCUUUUUGUCUUGUCUCAGACUCUAAUGCAUGUCUCCUUCUGAAUUGUGUACCUUGUCUCGGACGCGGUUAACUAUUCCAUUCGGUUAAGUAAUUAUUUCAUUCGCCAACUCCAAAGAAAUAAUAAUACCAAACCAGAUGAACCGGUAAUAACUACUUUCCCAAAUCUUAACCGCCGCUGCAUCAAAAUUCAAAAGUACAUAGUGUUGACGCACGGACAUCUCGUGUCUCUUCGACAUAUAUUAUUGUCUGAACUUCUUCCAAUCACCAAUGACGAAAGAGAAGAAAAAGGAUAAUGUCAGAGUAAGUUCAUAAACUUAAUCAUACCAUCGUUUUUUACCCUUCCUCUGCUUGCAAUUGAAUUCUCUCACUAGAUACUUCAUUCUGUAUUUUUUUUUUCAAUUUUCAUGUAGUAUAUGGAUGUCGAGUUCAACAUAUCGAUGCAUUGCAACGAAUGUGAGAGAAAAAUCGCCAGAGUUAUCUCUAAAUUCAAAGGUAAUCACUUUCGCGGUUUAAGAUAGAUUUCACAAUAUAUCCAUACGUUUCCAACUUUUGGAUGAUAUAUUAUUCAAAAAAAGAAAAACUUUUGGAUGAUCUAUGAAUAGGAGUUGAAACAUUUACGACGGAUAUGAAUGGUCACAAGGUUGUGGUCACGGGAAGGCUUGAUCCUAAGAAGUUGUUGAAGAAACUCAAGAAGAAGACGGGCAAGAGAGUGAAGAUUGUAGCGAAGGAUGAUAAAGAUGACGAAUCUAGUAAGUACGCCGAGGACGAAAACGUUCUCGUGAUUGAUAUGGAACUGAUCGGUUUAGGAGAUGAGCAGGUCCUUGGGUAUAAUGAUAGGGAGUUAGAGAAGUUUAUGUGGUUUAGCGAUGAGAAUCCAAAAUCCAUAUGUUGUAUCUCUUAACGAAGUUGAAACUAUAAAUAAUCACACACAAAAACAUUCUUAGAAUAUGGAACGAAUUGGUUUGGAGAAAAGAAAGAGAUUGAAGUAAGAUAUGUCCGAUCAUGCGACAAUGCAGCCGACCUCUUCACAAAAGCACUUCCUACUUCGGUAUUCAGAAAACAUGUCCAUAACAUUGGAAUGCGUCAUCAGAAGGAUCUAUGACUGCUCAAUCGAGGGGGAGCUUACGUAGUUGUACUCUUUUUACCUAACUAUGGUUUUUCCCAUUGGGUUUUCCUAGAAAGGUUUUUAACGAGGCAACAAAGACGUUAAGCGAGAGCGGAGAGUGACACCGGUCCCCAAGGAGAGUGUUACGAAACUUAAUACAAGAUGGAUGAUCAAGGGGGAGUGUUAUAAGAUAAACUUUGAAAUGAUCCUCCACUCCUUUACCAACUCAAGCACUAUGAUCAUCUACUCAUCAAGCACUAUGAUCAUCUACUCAUCAAGCACUAUGAUCACCCACUCAUUUACCAAAUCAAGCACCAUCUUUGAUAUUUUAUGUAUUGUUGCUCACUAUAAAUACCAUCACUCAUCUCACUCUUUUGUACACAAUUACAUCUUCUUCUUCUUCCUUAUAAUAAACUCUUUCUCUCAUAUUAAGUGUUAUUUGCUUCCUACGGGUAUUGAAUUCUACUCUUAUUUAAAUUUCCCGAUACUAUAAAUUAUAAGUUAUUUCAUAACAAUAAUUACUAUUUUGCAAAAAUAUGUCGUGUCCCUUCCAGAUUCACACCUCUUUGAAUAGUUUCACUCCAUAUUGUCUCCACUGCGUUUUCUCUGAUUACAAUCCUUCGCCGAUUCACAUUCACAUCCCAAUUUGCGCUGACCCUUGCCGAAAAGACUUAUGUAGUGGCGAUCACCUCCAUCUAUACAAACGGCACCAUCAUCGCGUCACCACCGUAUGUUCUUCUCUUCUAUUUAUUGUAUCAACAACAAAAUCCGUCGCUCUGAUGCGGUUAUAUGUAUUAUAUUUACUGAUGUCGCGAGAUACACCUAUAUUUUGUCGCCGUGGAUGACCUAAGUUGAUCGGAGAAGAUGAACAGUUUCUGUUUAUUUUGUUCUAUUCUAUUCGCAUAUGGAAUAGAAAUGUAAAACAAUAUGUAUUAUGUUUGUUCUAUUCCUGUUAUGAAAUGCGAUAUAUUCUGCUACUCUUCUAUUUUAUCAUGUUCCAUUCCAUUUGAUAAUUACUAAAGAGUGUUUUAUAAUGUUUAGAAAUAUAGUUUUUGAGCAAGUAAAUAUUGUACUAUGAUCUGUGUAAUUUAAUAUUACAUAAUUUAAUUUAAUUUUACAUAAUAUAUGUAAUUUUUUAGACUUUGGUAUUUGGGUUUAUGGUUUAUAUUUGGGUUUAGGGUUUAGUGAAUAUAGUUUAGGGUUUAUUAUUUAGAAGGUGAGGGGAUAUGGUUGGGGUCAGCUUUAACUUCUUCCAUGAAAUCAUAGACAUUUCAUUAUUUCACCGAUAUAUACCAUGCUAUUUAUUUUGUUCCAUUCUAUUUGGGUUUAGAGUUUAUAUUUGGGUUUAGAGUUUAGUGAAUAUGGUUUAGGGUUUAGUAUUUAGAAGGUGAGGGGGUAUGGUUGGGGUCAGCAUUAACUUUAAUUUCUUCCAUGAAAUCAUAGAUAUUUCAAAAUUUCACCAAUAUAUACCAUGAUAUUUAUUUUGUUCCAUUCUAUUUAGGUUUAUGGUUUAUAUUUGGGUUUAGAGUUUAGUGAAUAGGGUGUAGGAUUUAGUGAAUAGGGUGUAGGGUUUAAUGAAUAUGGUUUAGGGUUUAGUAUUUAGAAGAUGAAGGGGUAUGGUUGGGGUCAGCAUCAACUUCUUCCAUGAAAUCAUAGACAUUUCAUAGUUUCACCAAUAUAUACCAUUAUAUUUAUUUUGUUCCAUUCUAUUUGGGUUUAUAACUUAUAUUUGCAUUUAGGGUUUGUAUUUGAGUUUAGGUUUUAUUAAUUAGGAUUUAGGGUUUAGCAUUACGGAUUUGUGGGGAUGGGAUAAUGUUUAGUAUAUAGGGGUUGGAGUUAGGGUAAUGUUUCGUAUUAGAGUAUAUGGGUGAGUUUAGAGAUAUGUAUUAUUUCGGCGAAGUGGAAUAGAACACUCGUGGUUUCUUAUAUUCUCUCAGAUGUAAACUAAAUAUUAGUCAUACCUCUAUUUGUCUACGUCAUCUAACCUCGUAUCCUUCACCUGCUACUUGUACAAGCGAAGGUCAAAACUGGCUCAUUUGAUGCAUAAUUGUUAGUUACUUAAUGAUGUCAAAAUCAAUGACAUGCAUCUAAUUUCUUCUCCAAUCAUAGCUAUUUUGCAAAUUCUCCCUAAAGCAAAUGUCUUCUCCUUGUUGAUUUUUUUAAUUAAAAUUAUUAAGACAAAAAUAUUUAGGAUUGGAGGUAUACGUGAUGAAAGAAAUAACUGGAGAAUGAAUGAUAGGUGUUUAUUUGGGGGAUGAAAAGCUAGAUUGUCUUCUUACAAAAACUCUUAAGGAUUACAAAAAAAAAACUCCUAAGGAAUACAAAACAAACAAAAAAAAAUUCUGGAAAACUCUGUGACGCUUAAAUUAAGAUCGUUGUAAUGAGAGUUAAAUAUUCAAAAAAUGAGUAGAAUUGAAUGUGGAAAUUCGUCUGUGGAUAAGAACUACUAACUCCGCUAGUUAGUGCUUUAACCAUUAUGAAGGUUUGUUGAAAGAUGAAAAGAGCGG